CCCUACCCUUUAGUUGCCAUCAGGUAAUGCUGGGGACGUCUAAAGGAACUGCCUACGCAAGUAGUGAGGAAGGCGGGGAGUGACGUCAAAUCAGCACGGCCCUUACGUCCAGGGCUACACACGUGCUACAAUGGCCGAUACAGAGGGCAGCUACCUGGUGACAGGAUGCAAAUCUCCAAAGUCGGUCUCAGUUCGGAUCGGAGUCUGCAACCCGACUCCGUGAAGUUGGAUUCGCUAGUAAUCGCGCAUCAGCCAUGGCGCGGUGAAUACGUUCCCGGGCCUU
rnacentral:rRNA from 1 species